CGGCAGAGCGCCCUCCUUGGCGUGCUGCCGUGCUUGGGGCGGCGAAAUGUCUGGAGCCGCCCCACCUCGCUCCACUGUAGCCAAGCGUUUUUACUAGCCUUGCAGGGCCGGGAGGGCUGCUUGCUGCUAGGCCUGAGUUGGCCAGCUGGAGGCAUGCCUCAGCCAGGGCCUGAACUCCAACCCAGCUGAAGGGGCCCCUCCCUGUCGAUUAGGGACUGUUUGUGCUUGCAGCAUAGGCACCGUCAGGGCUGGGGUAAGGGUCUAGAACCUGCGCCUGCAGGGCUGCCAGGUCACAGACACCCAGCUGCAGCCCAUGGAAGGUAUUUAAGAUUCUGGGAUGGGGAAUGGGCCUGGACCCAGGCAGUGGUGCCAGCAGAGCCAGCGGGUGUCUCCACGUUUCUGAACCACGGGCGGGGAACUCGUUUUGGGUCUGGUAGCAAAAGACCCCAGAGUGAAUGGACUAACCAGGGCCUCUUUCCUUUUGCAGUCCCCCGUUAGCUCCCAUCCCCAGGAAUGAAUCCCUAACAUAGAUUUCAUCUGACCCCAGUGCAGGCUCGAGGCAAUGACUGUAAGGUGGGUGCACAAUGGGUUGAACCCCGCCCCCCAGUAGCUCUCAGUGGUUUACUGUCGAGCUGGAGGGACGGAGCUAGCGGGAUCCUGCAGGGCUCUGCCCUGGGGCUGGUCCUACUCAAUCUUUUUGUUCAUGACUUGGCUAAUGGAGCGGAGUGUGCGCUUAUGGCUCUGGCAGAGGACACCAUGGGAGGGGCUUGCAGCACGUUGGACAGGGUCAGAAUUCAAACCAACCCUGACUAACUGGAAAAGGGGCCUGAAUUCAACAAGAUGAACGUCAAUAAAGUGCAAGUCCUGCACUUGGGAAGGAAAUGAAAUGCACGGCUACACCCUGGGGAAUCCUUGGAUGGGGGCAGGAUGGUAGAAAAGGAUGAGGGGUUACGGUGGAUCACAGAUUGGAUAUGAGCUACUGCGGUGAAGACUAAUAUUCUGGGGUGUAUUAACAGGAGUGUGGUGUGUAAGACACGGGAGGGAACUGUCCUGCUCUACUCAGCACUGCUGAGGCCUCAGCCAAGUGCUGUGUCCAGGGCAGGCACCAGCCUUUUACAAGGAUGUGGACAAUUUGCUGGCAGGACAGAGCAGAGCAACAAAAAUGAUGAAAAGGUUUAGAAAAGGUGACUGUGAGGAUUAAAAACACUGGGCAGGGUUAGUUGUGAGACAAGACUGAGGGAAGCUGGUAGCUUCCCCCCAGGUCCACGAAUCUAACCAAGUCGUCUACAACUCCCUGAGCUCUUUUAAGCCCGAUCUGAGGAGCUGGCAGCAGCAGAAGGCCAUGGAAUGAGUGGUCGACCUGCGCGGCGCAGAGCCCUGCUAGUGCGCCCCCAUCAGCAUGCUGCUGCUCGGCUUGCACGAAGCACGCCGGGACUGCAGCUAGGCUGGGAAGCAGGGGAGCCUGGAGGAUCUGCUCAUUAAUUCACUGCCUGUAGACCUGGCUCUGUGCCUGCGUUUAGUGUCUGAAAUGGGGCUAACUCAGCCUGAGACAAAGUGAACGCAGCACUUUGAGCUGGUAAAAGGGCAGGAGUGUUACUGGGGUCGCUUCUUCCUAGGCAGCGCCUAGGGCCAUCGCCCCCCUUCAGACCAGGCAUGCGGCACUGUCAGAACCAGUCGGCAGCCUGCGUGUGCAAUGAUCGCACUCGAUCUCGGUCCAUUUCAUGGAGGGGGGGGGGCAGGCAGCCCCAUUCAUAAUUAGCCCCUUUGUUGGGAAAGAAGCUGAGAGGACUAGAGCAGUGGGCUCUGAGCGAUGCCCACUGCCUGGCUGUUCGGGGGGUGGGACUCCCACCUCCAGGGCGUUUCACCCACACUGGCUUCCACAGAACUUGUACGUUACAUUAAUUUACCAGGAACUCAGCUUGAGCUAACGCAGUCGCACCACUAACCGACCCAUAGCGCUUGCUGGAGAGAACAUACUACCACCAGGUGAGGAAAGGGCAGAGAAGGAUGGGUAAUGAGACAGGGUGGAGGCACAACUGAUUUCAGCUGCUCUCUUUUCCCGGGGGGAGCUGCCAUUAGGGGAAUCGGGCAGAGAACUCCAAGGACUGCAGAGGUUCCAGAGAGGUUUAAUUGUUAUUUGUUACAGGAUUUCAGUUCAGUGUAGAGCUGGGUUUGGUUUUGUUUUUUUUGGUAGAAAAAGAGAUUUGUCUUAAAAACUUUAUAUAGAUUUGUGGUCUCUCUAAGCACAAAAUAAAAGCCGAACGCAGUCAGUUCCCACA